AUUGAACGCUGGCGGCAUGCCUUACACAUGCAAGUCGAACGGUAACAGGCCGCAAGGUGCUGACGAGUGGCGAACGGGUGAGUAAUGCAUCGGAACGUGCCCAGUCGUGGGGGAUAACUGGUCGAAAGAGCAGCUAAUACCGCAUACGACCUGAGGGUGAAAGCGGGGGACCGUAAGGCCUCGCGCGAUUGGAGCGGCCGAUGUCAGAUUAGCUAGUUGGUGGGGCAAAUGCCUACCAAGGCAACGAUCUGUAGUUGGUCUGAGAGGACGACCAGCCAGACUGGGAGUGAGAGACGGCGCAGACUCCGACGGGGGGCAGCAGUGGGGAAUUUUGGACAAGGGGCGCAAGCCUGAUCCAGCAAUGCCGCGGGCAGGAAGAAGGCGUGCGGGUUGUAAACUGCUUUUGUCAGGGAAGAAAUCUUCUGGGCUAAUACCCCGGGAGGAUGACGGUACCUGAAGAAUAAGCACCGGCUAACUACGUGCCAGCAGCCGCCGUAAGAC
rnacentral:rRNA from 1 species